rnacentral:lncRNA from 1 species
GGGGGGGGGUCAGGAUGGCGGCGCUGCGCGGCGCUUGGAGCGGUGCCCGGUGAAUUUGAAGCCCCGCAGAGGGUUGGCGGCACGGCGGGACCUGGGGCCGGUCGGGCGUUUGGCGCCGCCGUGGGGCAGCCGCAGCCGUCUGCGCUUCUUCGGCUCCGGGUGGGCGAUGCCCCGCAGGGUGGGCGGCACCAGGUAGUCGGGCACAUUGCGCAGGUGGGGUUUGACGAUGGCGGCGUGCAGCGCUUUGUCGUGGCGCAGCACGUGCAGAUCGCGGGGGUUGUCCUCAAAGUACGUCUUCAGCUUCUCCGAGUUGAGCAGCUCCUCUUUGAUCUCCCUCAGCCGCGCUUCCUUCACUGCCUGCUUGGUGACGGAGCGCAUGGCGUCCCGGCAGCGGUAGCGCAGCGCUUCGAUCUCCUCCAUGCAGAACUUGUAGGGCUGCAGCAUGGACUCCCCAUUCUCUCCUGCCAACACGUCCUCAAUCCGCGCCAGCUGCUCGCGCUCCUCGGGCAGCACGAAGGUGAGCGCCGUGCCGGGGUUGUCCGCUC